CGGGGUGCAGCAGGCGCGAAAACUUUGCACUGCGGGAAACCGUGACAAGGGAACUCUGAGUGCCCGUUAAAUCGGGCUGUCCAUCGGUUUAAAUAACCGGUGAAGAAAGGGCCGGGCAAGACCGGUGCCAGCCGCCGCGGUAAUACCGGCGGCUCGAGUGGUGGCCACUAUUACUGGGCUUAAAGCGUUCGUAGCUGGUUUGUUAAGUCUCUGGGGAAAUCUUCCGGCUUAACCGGAAGGCGUCUCAGGGAUACUGGCAGACUAGGGACCGGGAGAGGUGAGAGGUACUCCAGGGGUAGGAGUGAAAUCCUGUAAUCCUUGGGGGACCACCUGUGGCGAAGGCGUCUCACCAGAACGGCUCCGACAGUGAGGGACGAAAGCUGGGGGAGCAAACCGGAUUAGAUACCCGGGUAGUCCCAGCUGUAAACGAUGUGCGUUAGGUGUAUCGGUGACCACGAGUCACCGAGGUGCCGAAGAGAAAUCGUGAAACGUACCGCCUGGGAAGUACGGUCGCAAGGCUGAAACUUAAAGGAAUUGGCGGGGGAGCAC
rnacentral:rRNA from 1 species